UUCCUUGUCGGGUAAGUUCCGACCUGCACGAAUGGUGUAACCAUGGCCACGCUGUCUCUACCCGAGACUCAGUGAAAUUGAAAUCGCAGUGAAGAUGCUGUGUACCCGCACCUAGACGGAAAGACCCCGUGAACCUUUACUACAGCUUGGCACUGAACAUUGAACCUACAUGUGUAGGAUAGGUGGGAGACAUUGAAGCAUUGUCGCUAGA
rnacentral:rRNA from 12 species